rnacentral:tRNA from 1 species
GUAAAACCAAGCUACG